GGGGAUGGGGCCUCCACAAGUCCAAUGUCCAAUGAAUAAAUAUUAAAAUUUGUUUUAUCACAGUUCAAGUAUCUUUCUCUAGAACCAACUACCAAUGUCAACUUAGAAGUAGAAACACAUCUCCAGAUAAGGACUAGAUAAGCCUUUCAGUAAAAAUUAUGUAUCAGAUAUGUCACCUUUCACAUUGUAUCUUUUUCACUAGUCAGUCCCAAAAAUAAAAUAAAAUAAAAUAAAAAAAUGCAAAGAAUCUCCUAACCUAACAUGACUGAUUUUGGUCAAAUUUUUUAACAACAUGCAGGUGGGAGAAUUGGCGGGAAUCGCGGUGGGAGCAACUGUCAUGCUCAACAUACUCAUAGCUGGGUAUGUCAGAAACCCCAACCUAUUUUACUGCAAAAUCUCACUUUCGGCUGGUUGGCUGAAUAAUGAAUGCAUGAGCUAUGUUACAGUCAAGUCCUCCGUGCACGGUGAGUCAUUUCUGGUCGUCGAUCAUUGUGGGACCCACAUUUGAUCAACGGUCAAGAACGGCCUGCCUGAACGAUUGGUCUUAGCAAAAUCCAUGAUUCUAUAUGAAUGGGUCUAUUUAUCUGAAAGGACCUCUACCAAGUCCUUGAGAUACAGUAAGAACACAGUUCACAGGCACGAUGAAUUAAAUACAUUCUAAAUUCUAUGUAGAAAAAUGAAUUCAGCAAGUCAAUAUGAAAGGGAAGUCAUACAGCUCAAAGAAUUACUCGAGAAUAGUACUAUUUCAGCAUGGUAUCUUGAAACUUUCUUUAAUUUUCGACUAUUGUGCAGGGAAACAACAGGAGCUUCCAUGAACCCAGUGAGAACAUUAGGGCCAGCCAUAGCUGCAAACAACUACAAAGCCAUAUGGGUCUACCUGACUGCACCAUUUCUCGGGGCACUCUUUGGGGCGGGAACUUAUACGGCUGUCAAGCUGCCCGAGGAAGAUGGUGACCAUAUUGAAAAGCCUUCAACAAGGAGCUUCAGAAGAUGACCGAUCAACAUUAUCAUCAGACCUACAUCAAUAAUCCAGAAGCCCACAUCAGGACAUAAUGCAGAAGGCGUGUAGCAAAAGGAAGGGAGAUAAAAUACAGUUGCAUGAUGAGCUCUGGCCGGUACAUACAUAAUAUAUAGAAAGGAAAUAGUCUGUAUUAAUAAUUAGCCAAGAUAGAGAUUCUCUCUUCCCCUCUAAGAAAGAAGAAAUUUACAAACCAAAAGAGUAUGAAGAUGAAAAUUGACACCUUUUUUUUCGGUGUGAUGGGGGCAGAGCAGAAUUGACCUUUGUCUACAUAGAUAUAUGAAACUAGGUAACAAAAUUAUUGUAGUCCUUUCUUAAAAUAAGAUUUGAGAAAAUUGAGCUUUCAAGGAGUUGCAGCAUAUAGUUGUUCACCGGUUUCAUUCUUUCCCAAAAUCCCAGUAAUCACUUAAUGUGCAUGAAGGACUGAAAUUUAAUAUCUUCUGUCAUAUUUCUCCCCAGUCCCCUUCAAAGUUGAAAUGCAAAAUUCCAUUUUAAUCUCAUUUUUCAGUUUUAGCAUAAACAGCAUGUGCUAUCAAUUGACAUGUAAAUAAGCUCAUGGAAAAUUACAAUGACAGCUCACUAACACAAUAAGGAGCCCUUUUGCCUAGGCCCCAGUGAAUGCAUCUUUUCCAUUUUCGACACCAACACCAACACCAAACAUGGUUCCCUUCACAUGAUUAUAUUGGAUUUCACUUUCAAAGUUUCUGAGCUUGGAAUGCACACACACACACACACAUAAAUGCAUACAAGUGCAUACCUAUAUAACGUGCGUAUGUAACAUAAAUACCAUGAAUGCAAUUGGAGAAAAAAAUGUAAUAAAAGAAAAAGUACAGUUCCUUUUAGUAAAGCACUAAAUGCAUAACAUCCAAACGCAACAGAAAAUGCAAAAUGUUUCAUCACUAAAGUAAACAAUCACGGUUCAAACAAAAGUUUAUACAAGAAAAUCGAAACAAGCUGAAGUUUGCCAGGGACAAUCCAGAAUGAAAUCCAACAGAAAACGUAUCAUCGUAGUUCCUCAGGUAAAAACAAUUCAGUACCACAGUGCAAAUAUCUCAUCCCAUUCAAGUUAGUGAAAAACCUAUGAGGAGGUAGCAUGAGAGUUAGAAUCGUGUUCACUUGUUGAAUUGUAUUUACUUGUUGCUUCAUAACCUAAGGGCAGUAGAAAAGAUCACAUCAAAGAAGAAACAGCAUAAAUUAGCAAGAAAUUAGGUUUCAAACAACCUUGCCAAAAUGCUUUCCAGUUCCAUAUAACUAUAGAUUUUAUGCUCCAAAAAAUGUCUGAUCAAACCAAAUAUCUUUGUAAUGUGAUUCCGUCUCACUUAACAAUCAUCCAAACUAGAUUGACAUGACAAGUCAACAACAAGCAGUACACAUUGCAAGGCGACAGAUUUAUCUUCACCUUAUUAAAGAAAUAACUCCUUCACCAUAACUUCGUGACUUUCUAAUGUUAAAGUCCUCAUUUUCAGUAGCCAAAAAUAUCGAAUGAAAUCCCCUAGGAGUUAUAAUGGAUUAACAAAUAGAAACAAACAUACAUAACAUAGAUGCUUAAACAGGAGUACAUGUUCUCAAAUCCUAGAGCAACAACAAUACUCACGUAAUCUAUACAGACAUAAGAUUCUAGUUUGAUAUAUCCGAAAGUUUAAAAUAUAUGUUAAAUAUUGGAAAUUCCAAUACUUCCCAUGCACUCAUAACUAGUUUUUUCAAUGACAUAAAUGGGGUGUCAUACAUACGUAAUAUGUUUAACUUUUGUAGCACGCAGGAAUCCUUCUUCCUUCCAAUCCACAUAAAUAAGAAAGAAGGCUCCACCCCAAAACUCCGAUUUGAAUGAAGCCACAAAGAAGGGUCCGUCCCAAUUUUCCAAUGAGGUCCAUCCGCAUAAACAAGCUCAUACCUUUUAUACCGAUACUCUUACUAUCCCCCUUGAAUGAAACAAGCAUUUCUACCCAAUUUAUCUGUUUCAAAUCCCCAAUUUUUCUGGUUAAGUAAGAGUUAUAGCAACAUAUUCCACUAUUAUAUGUCUUAUUCCGUGCUAAACCAUGUAAGAAAUUCAUUCAAUACAUUGAGGAGAUGAUAAAAGUAAAUGCAACACACGCCCUGGAGCCUGGACAUACACAAAAGAAAGAUGAAUCCUAACGUUGGAGGUCAUCUUAUAGAAACCACAAUAAACUCAAUUGAACAAAAGCGCUUUUCAGAUGCUCAAGCUAACCUGCUUUUAAAAGUGAACAAGAUCAAUCAAGAAAUUAUUGUAAAUUGUAAAAGCAAAUGAAGUAAGCAUAUUGCCAACUACAAUAGUUUAACCAGAGGUAUAAAGAACAACCAAAUCAGCGUAUAUGGCUUUUAUCCUACAUUACAUGUUCAGCAUUUCAGAGAAACAUAAAUUGGAUUUAACAAAGUUAUAAAAAGAAAACCUUACCUAAAGUUAACCAAUUGCUUGAAUGAUUGCCCACUAUGAAAAGCGAAAUGCCUCAUUUUUUUCCUAACUUCUGCCUCACUUAAGUGGAACCCUCUUAAUUUCUCCCAAUCCCAAACUCAAAAUCUCCACUUUCUUGCCUUUUCCCACACUUUCUCACAAUCCAAACAAACUCCUCUUCUUCAACACCGAGCCCCCGAG
rnacentral:lncRNA from 1 species